CCGUGCUCCACGGGGAAUUGCAAUCCCUUGACCCGAAGUUAAUGCGGGGUGCAGAGACUACUGUGAGGCAGCUAUUUACAUAGUUAUAUAAAUUAUUAUGUCGUUGAUAUUUUAAUUUCUUACGGCGCAAGCCAUUGAACCGUGUCAGGUUAGAAAUAAAGCAGCACUAAAAUGGUCUAAACUUGCGGGUGUAAGACUUUUAAAAAGUAGAUAUUUUAGUUUGUGAAUUAUGCUAAUAUCUCUCGAUAGGUAGAGCGCACGG
rnacentral:SRP_RNA from 1 species